CGGCCUGAGGUCGGACGAGGCUACCCGCUGAAUUUAAGCAUAUUACUAAGCGGAGGAAAAGAAACUAACGAGGAUUCCCUCAGUAACGGCGAGUGAAGCGGGACGAGCCCAGCGCCGAAUCCGGCCGCUUAUGGAGCGGACGGAAUUGU
rnacentral:ncRNA from 1 species